rnacentral:rRNA from 1 species
AGAGUUUGAUCCUGGCUCAGGAUGAACGCUGGCGGCGUGCUUAACACAUGCAAGUCGAACGGGAUCCCGGGGGUUCGCYYCCGGGUGAGAGUGGCGAACGGGUGAGUAAUGCGUGACCGACCUGCCCCAUACACCGGAAUAGCUCCUGGAAACGGGUGGUAAUGCCGGAUGCUCCGGUUGGAUGCAUGUCCUUCCGGGAAAGAUUCCAUCGGUAUGGGAUGGGGUCGCGUCCUAUCAGCUUGAUGGCGGGGUAACGGCCCACCAUGGCUUCGACGGGUAGCCGGCCUGAGAGGGCGACCGGCCACAUUGGGACUGAGAUACGGCCCAGACUCCUACGGGAGGCAGCAGUGGGGAAUAUUGCACAAUGGGCGCAAGCCUGAUGCAGCGACGCCGCGUGCGGGAUGGAGGCCUUCGGGUUGUAAACCGCUUUUGAUCGGGAGCAAGCCCUUCGGGGUGAGUGUACCYUUCGAAUAAGCACCGGCUAACUACGUGCCAGCAGCCGCGGUAAU